AGGUGGAUUCAAUCAGAAUAAUAAUGAGAGCUUCAACCAACUAGUGUGGAAAAUAUGCCCAAAAACCGUGAAUACUAGUUCUACUAUCGUACAAAUUGCUGCAUACAUAGCUACUUGUAUAUUUAAUGAAGGUACAAAUUCAUUAUUAAUGAUUAUGGAUACCCUAGGACUUAAUUGUGGGUCUAAUUCCCAUCGGCAUGCUGAAAAAUUGGACGCUGCACGUGUAAAAGUGGCAGAUCAGCGCGCCAACGACAACACCCGGGAAGGCAGAAUGCUUCGUCGGCAACAGCAAAUUGAUGUUUUGGAAACUUCCACAGUGGCUGAAGAACUAUUAUAUGGCCCAGGAAUAGAUGACUCGAUAUGAAUCUCCAAGGACUUAUGAUUGUCACCGCAAGGACCUUUUUUUGGAACUGGGUCAACACAGACAGCUGUAACUUUGGAAAUUAAAUUUUUUUUUUUUUUGAAAUUUUCGUGACUUCAAGUCAAAACAUUGUAUAAUAAUGCCCUAUUACUACUUUUGUAAAAUAACAUGAUUUAAUAGCAAAAAAAAAAUACUGAAAA